rnacentral:rRNA from 1 species
CGCGUAGGCGGUCUUCUAUGUCAGAUGUGAAAGCCCGGGGCUCAACCCCGGAAGUGCAUUUGAAACUGGGAGACUUGAGUAUGGGAGAGGGAAGUGGAAUUCCUGGUGUAGCGGUGAAAUGCGUAGAUAUCAGGAGGAACACCGGUGGCGAAGGCGACUUCCUGGACCAAUACUGACGCUGAGGCGCGAAGGCGUGGGGAGCAAACA